GGCCGCGGUCCCCGCAGCGCCUGUAGCCGCGAAGCCGAGCGGCCCAGGUUUCCGGCCGGGCCCCUUUUCCAGCUGGGCUCCAGCAUGGCUGCCCUCAGGGCUGCGGGUCGGGAAGCCUCCGCGUUCUCGUUUCCCUGACAGUCCCGGCUUCUGUGCUCUCCUUCCCCUCCCCAGGCCACUCGAGCAGACAUGUUUGCCAAGUCCUUUCGGGUCAAGUCCAACACGGCCAUCAAGGGGUCGGACAGGAGAAAGCUUCGAGCUGAUGUGACCACUGCUUUCCCCACUCUUGGAAGAGAUCAGGUCCCUGCCUUAGUACCUGGAAAGGAAGAGCUCAACGUUGUGAAGUUGUAUGCUCACAGAGGGGAUGCAGUGACUGUGUACGUGUGUGGUGGUAACCCCAUCCUAUUUGAACUGGAAAAAAACCUGUAUCCAACAGUAUACACCUUGUGGUCCUAUCCUGACCUUCUCCCAACGUUCACAACAUGGCCUCUGGUGGUCGGGGGAGCAGAUUUGAUGCUGCCAGGCCUGGUGGUGCCCCCUGCUGGUCUGCCGCAGGUACAGAAGGGGGACCUCUGUGCCAUUGCCUUGGUGGGGAACAGGUACUGUGCCUGUCCGCUGUGCCUUUGGGGGAAAAACUUAGGUAAAACUGGGGAAGGGGGUGGGAAAGGACAACUUCCAAAGCCUAUGGGUAAAGAUUAAAAGAGAAAAACAGGGGGCGCCUGGGUGGCUCAGUUAGUUAAGCAACUGCCUUCAGCUCAGGUCGUG